rnacentral:tRNA from 1 species
GGGGUUGUGGCUCAGUGGGAGAGCGCUCACCUAGCAUGUGUGAGGUGCUGGGUUCGAUCCUCAGAACCACA